rnacentral:rRNA from 1 species
GGUGAACGCUGGCGGCGUGCCUAACACAUGCAAGUCGAGCGAUUUACUUCGGUAAAGAGCGGCGGACGGGUGAGUAACGCGUGGGUAACCUGCCCUGUACACACGGAUAACAUACCGAAAGGUAUGCUAAUACGAGAUAAUAUGCUUUUAUCGCAUGGUAGAAGUAUCAAAGCUUUUGCGGUACAGGAUGGACCCGCGUCUGAUUAGCUAGUUGGUGAGGUAACGGCUCACCAAGGCGACGAUCAGUAGCCGACCUGAGAGGGUGAUCGGCCACAUUGGAACUGAGACACGGUCCAAACUCCUACGGGAGGCAGCAGUGGGGAAUAUUGCACAAUGGGCGAAAGCCUGAUGCAGCAACGCCGCGUGAGCGAUGAAGGCCUUCGGGUCGUAAAGCUCUGUCCUCAAGGAAGAUAAUGACGGUACUUGAGGAGGAAGCCCCGGCUAACUACGUG